GUCGCCGGAGGUGUCCUUCUCCAGCAGGUGCUCGUAGGGCUUGGGUGGGACAUGUUGGGGACUCCGGGGUAGAGAGUGGAGUGUCCGGCUUGCCAGGAGGGAAAAGGAGGCCCGGUCUGCCAGCUCCGAGGCCGCGACAGGGACUUUGGGGUGCGGCCCCCACGCGGCGCGUGCAGAGCAGCGCCAGCACGUGGCGCGCAUGGGCCUGGCUCUGGGUAGGGGGACUCUCCUUUUGUGGGGACCAGGGCGGAGCUGGGCCCAAGACAGCCUGGCUUCUGGGCCUGGAAGCGACUGUCGCUGUGUUGACUUCCGCAGAGGAUCGGCGUGUGGGUAGUUCAAUGCUACAGUCCUGUGUGAACUAGAGGGAGGGGUUGUGUUGCCUUCUGCCCCGAGGCAGGAGGAUGGGGAAUGCGGGAAUACAAAUGGACGUGAAGGGAGCUAGCUGGCCAUUUACAGACUAAACUCCUGUUCCUGGCCUCCCUUUCCUGGGCGAGUCCUCAUUUACUCUACGCGGAGAGUGAACGUGUGACAAGAUAAAGGACUGACGCGCACACCCAGGCUUCCUUUGGAUGAAGGCUCUCUCCACCCCUGCACCUUAUACCCCAUUCGGGUCCUCUUGCCAAGCCUGAGCCAACCCCCUCUUCUCCAUUAACCCUCCUUCCGUCCUGUUCCUCUUGUCCUGCUUGUGUGACCUUUGCAUACAAUAAUAUAUGCGUGGUGGAAUGGUU
rnacentral:lncRNA from 1 species